rnacentral:rRNA from 1 species
CUUAACACAUGCAAGUCGAGGGGCAGCAUGAAGUUUGCUUGCAAACUUUGAUGGCGACCGGCGCACGGGUGAGUAACGCGUAUCCAACCUUCCCCUUAGUAGGGGAUAGCCCGGCGAAAGUCGGAUUAAUACCCUAUGUUCUCCUUUGAAGACAUCUGACGAGGAGCAAAGAUUGAUCGCUAAGGGAUGGGGAUGCGUCUGAUUAGGUUGCAGGCGGGGUAACGGCCCACCUGGCCCACGAUCAGUAGGGGUUCUGAGAGGAAGGUCCCCCACAUUGGAACUGAGACACGGUCCAAACUCCUACGGGAGGCAGCAGUGAGGAAUAUUGGUCAAUGGACGAGAGUCUGAACCAGCCAAGUAGCGUGCAGGAUGACGGCCCUAUGGGUUGUAAACUGCUUUUGCCGGGGAAUAAAGUGCGGCACGCGUGCCGUUUUGUAUGUACCCGGAGAAUAAGGACCGGCUAAUUCCGUGCCAGCAGCCGCGGUAAUACGGAAGGUCCGGGCGUUAUCCGGAUUUAUUGGGUUUAAAGGGAGCGCAGGCCGUUGAUUAAGCGUGACGUGAAAUGCCGCGGCUCAACCGUGGAAGUGCGUCGCGAACUGGUUGACUUGAGUGAGUUCGACGUCAGCGGAAUUCGUGGUGUAGCGGUGAAAUGC